CCUACGGGAGGCAGCAGUGAGGAAUAUUGGUCAAUGGACGAGAGUCUGAACCAGCCAAGUAGCGUGAAGGAUGACUGCCCUAUGGGUUGUAAACUUCUUUUAUAAAGGAAUAAAACGAGGCACGUGUGCCUUUUUGCAUGUACUUUAUGAAUAAGGAUCGGCUAACUCCGUGCCAGCAGCCGCGGUAAUACGGAGGAUCCGAGCGUUAUCCGGAUUUAUUGGGUUUAAAGGGAGCGUAGAUGGGUUGUUAAGUCAGUUGUGAAAGUUUGCGGCUCAACCGUAAAAUUGCAAUUGAUACUGGCAGUCGUGAGUACAGUUGAGGUAAGCGGAAGUAGUGGUGUAGCGGUGAAAUGCUUAGAUAUCACGAAGAACCCCGAUUGCGAAGGCAGCUUACUAAACUGUGACUGACAUUGAUGCUCGAAAGUGUGGGUAUCAAACAGGAUUAGAUACCCCUGUAGUC
rnacentral:rRNA from 1 species